ACGCUCGACACCUACGGGAAGCAGCAGUGGGGAAUAUUGCACAAUGGGGGAAACCCUGAUGCAGCGACGCCGCGUGAGUGAAGAAGUAUUUCGGUAUGUAAAGCUCUAUCAGCAGGGAAGAAAAUGACGGUACCUGACUAAGAAGCCCCGGCUAACUACGUGCCGGCAGCCGCGGUAAUCUGAGCGGGCUGGCAAGGC
rnacentral:rRNA from 1 species